rnacentral:rRNA from 1 species
GAUGAACGCUGGCGGCGUGCCUAAUACAUGCAAGUCGAGCGAAGCGGGGACGGGUGAGUAACACGUGGAUAACCUCCUAUAAGACUGGGAUAACUUCGGGAAACCGGAGCUAAACCGGAUAUUUAAAGAUGGAUCCGCGCUGAAUUGGCUCGUUGGUAAGGUAACGGCUAACAAAGGCAACGAUGCAUAGCCGACCUGAACGGGUGAUCGGCCACACUGGAACGGUGACCCGGUCCAGACUCCUACGGGAGUCAGCAGUAGGGAAUCUUCCGCAAUGGGCGAAGGCCUGACGGGGCAACGCCGCGUGAGUGAUGAAGGUCUUCGGAUCGUAAAACUCUGUUAUUAGGGAAGCGGUACCUAAUCAGAAAGCCACGGCUAACUACGUGCCAGCAGCCGCGGUAAUAC